ensembl:lncRNA
AGUGGGUAGAAGUCAUAUCUCUUUAGUUUAUACAGCUCUAUUAACACAUGAUAAGGAAUCUGCCACUGACAAGUUGGACGCAUGGAGGGCUGACAUCCAAGAGGAGAUACAGGAGGUGGACUGGGAAACUACAUGUUUAAAAGCCCAAAGACAAUCAAUUAAUACAAGGAUGAAACUCCUCCAAUAUAAGUAGUUGAUGAGAACUUACAUAACCCCAGCCAAACUGAAUCGCUGGUCGCCUGUCAUCCCAGAUAGCUGCAGUAAAUGUUUAGACAAGAAGGGCACUCUGCUUCACUGUGUAUGGAGCUGUCCAAAAUUACAGCAGUACUGAAAAUUAAUCACGCAAACUUUAUCUGAGAUUGUUGGAGUAAAUAUACCUGUUGAAGCAAAAAUGUGUGUGUUGGGUAUAUAUCCAAAGAACUGUGACUUUAGUACCAGACAGCUAAAAUUAAUUGACUUUGGACUCCUGCAGGCUAAACGCUUAAUAUCUUUGUAUUGGAAGAAAAUGGAUGUACCCUCAAGUCAUAUGUGGGUGAAGGAGAUGACAUCAUGUAUUGUAUUGGAAUUAAUUUAGAAAAUGAUACUUGGUACUGAGUUUUGGGGGUUUUGUGUGUGUGUGUGUUUUUUUGUUGUUGUCUGUUUCUUUGUUUUUGUUGUUUUUAUUUUUCGUUCGCGUCUUGCUUUGUUUGUUUUACCCAUGCUGUGCAUCGGUUUUGUUUUAUUUUAUUAUUUAUUUAUUUAUAUUAUUAUUGUUGUUGUUUCUUUUAAUUUAUAGUUGUUUAUUUUGUUCUGUAAUAUAAAUCUCAUGUUAACUGUACUAUUAUUCUUUGCUUGUUCUGUAAUAUAAAACUCAAUAAACAUACUGUUUAAAAAAAGUAUUAGGAGAACAUAAUACUUAUAUAGAAGUGAUAAAUCAGCCUCCAUCUUAGUUUGACUAAGGUGGAUGAGGGGGCUGAUCAAUUACAGGGACAGGUGGUGAUAAGUGUGAAAUUUGACCUGCAGGCAUUUAAAAAGUAGAGCAGUGGAUUAGGAUCCCACUGUUUUUGGUGGAGUCAGCUUCCCUGAACUCACCAGGUGAGAUGAGAUGGGGUACUUUUUUCCUUGCUGAGCUUAGAUAUGUCCAGGCUGGAUGGACCCACCCCCAAGGUGCCCAUGGCUCUUUCUAUUGUGCAACCCCACCCCUGGUGACCUUGUUAACAUGUGACAAAAUGAGGACCAACAUAUGGGCAAGACAGAAUAAGUGCAAAUCUGUGUCUGUGUGUGAUCCACUGUUGGUGAAUAAAUGCCGAGGUUUCAGGCGUGCAAGUCCUUGAGAUGCCAGUGUCACAGGUGUAACAGAUCUGGGAACAACAACUUGUGAUACAGUCAGUUUUGGUUAUAACAUUCAGUUUGUCAGCAGGACUGCAAUCCAAACCGUAGUAUUUUUUUACCAUGUGAUUUUCUGGUGACAAGCAGAACAAUUUAAGCGUACACUGAGAAAAAACUGAGAGUAAGAAAACAAGAGAGAGAAAGAGAAAGGUUGCACGGAGACUCUUGUGUUUUUAUGUGUGUGCAGUCUU